UCAUCCCUUUUAUUCUCUCUGGGGUGAUAAAGGGACCCACAGGCUUAACCAGCUCCCCCAGCACAGCCCCAGCAGCUGCAGACUCUGAAGAAUCUCCUACUCAGAGACCUCUCCCCCAGUCAGGGAGACCAGCUGUGUGACUGACUGCACACACUGCAGAACCAGGGAACCUGAAACAGACACAUGGCUGGGGGCUGUGGGUGAGCAGGUGACCAAAGGGUUUUUUUUCUCCAGCAUCGACUCAAGGGCCUCAGGUAAUGUCCUCCAGAUAACCUUUUUCCUGCUGCCCAACAUGCUUAUCUGCUGCAGACAGACUGGCAAGAUGAACAGGAAAGCUGAUAACUUAUCUCUCCCUCUCAAGGAGCUUAUUUAAGUGCUGGAAUGUGUCGCAAUGGUAAAUGAUUGUUACAAUCCAACUGAGGUACAUGGACAUACAGGCAGGCCCUGCUGGGAAGCAGCACCUAUUUAGGAAGGAGACCCACAAGACCACAAGAUUUCAAGGCUUUUCCAUCUUUCAUCUACCUAAAGACAUCUCCUAAAAUGCAAAACAUUUGUUUAAAACCAACGUGCUCCUCCUCUUCAGCCUGUGGUUUAACACUGUUGGCUGCUCCUGGGUGCAUGUGGUUCCUGUGUCUCUCUGAUAUGGCCUAUCUGUGUUUGUCUGCUCAGCAUUGAGCGAGGGGUACGGCAAGGGUUAUUGCCAUAUCUGCAUAGCACCACACUGCUCCUGCUCGCCCUUCCAUCCAGGCUCAGCGCAGGAAAUAGUAGGAUGCUAACAUGUCCAUAGAGGUAGAUAGACUGGAGAACUAUCGGGCUAAUUGGAAUGAGCUGGGCUUACUGCUCAGGCAGCCCGAUACGAAGGAAUGAGACCUCUCCCCAGGGAUGCAGAACGCAGCAGAGUCUCAGCACUUCACUUCUUUCAGCUACUGCAAGUGGCAGCGACAGCAAUAGCAAUUGCAGGCGCUGGGGGCUGAGCGCUGUGACAGCAGAGAGGACAGGGAAAGCCCGUGCUGUCAGUGUGAUGUCCCCAACAGCUGCUGCGGAGGGGUGCAAUGGGGUAUUUUGGUCCUGUCCCGGGUGGAAAAAGAGAUGGUGAUGCUGGGUGCCAGGAGCACUGCUGGGGCAGGGUUCGGGCUCAGGUUGCUCCUGCUGCUCCAGGCACACAGCAGCCUCUGGAGAAAUCGCACCUUGGCAAUGCACACAGCUGCCAUGGGCUGCUGCAUCGGAAAGUUAAUCAGUUCCACAUCACUGACUGCUUUUCCAUUGCGAAGCAGAAGGAAUUGCCAUCCCAGAGCAGAGCUCAGCUUGCCCACGUUGCAGGGCUGAGGGCUUCAGCAGGAGCACAGGUGACACUGUGGCAGCCAGGAUGAGACAAGCCACUUUCUGGGACAUCUGACCUCCAACCUGCAGCUUUUAUCCUCCGCAAAACUCUUGUAAUUAGACAGAGCAAUGUGCAUGUCUACAAGAUCUUCCACAUUCUCUUUGUGCUUUUUAAUGUCCCUAGCUCCAUCCCUUUUGGUGGCAGCAGGACAGCAGCCCCAUCACAGCCUAUUUGGGGGCUGAAGUGAGGACCCCACAGGGAAGUAGGACUGCAGGCAAAGGCCAUGAUGCUCAUUUGUCUCCCUACAAUGUGAUCCAGUUUUGUUGACAGGCAGUAGGGCUCCAGUUGCCAUUUCCUGCUGUAGUUCAUGGGGGCUGAGCAACGAGCUGGUGAUCCAAACAUGUCCCAGCAGCUGUGUGUCCCUCUCUUGGAGUGCCUUGAACCAUCAGGAUGGGGCUGGGCAGCCCUGCAGGCAGUGUGACGCCUGAGGGCACCCGACAUCAGCCCCCACCUGGCUUUCCAGUUGUCGCUGUCAGUGUAGAAAGUAGGAAUUGGGGGAGAAUGCAUCUGAGCUACUUGGUGCCUGUAUCUUGUGAUCCUGAAACCUAAGAGCCCCCUCUGACUCAGCAGGUUAUUAAUAACCCCCUGGCCGUGCCCCUGCUGCAGUGCCUGUCAGUCCUGGCAUCGCCUGUCUGCUCCAUGGCCAGACAAAUGUGUGCCCUGGGCAAGGUCAGGGGCUCCUUCCCACCCCAUCCUCACCCACAGGCUGGGCAGAAGGUGUGUGAGGGCUCUGGGCAUCCCCUGAGGCCACCCAUGACUCAUGCCAGCACAGGAGAAGUUCCUGGUGCUGCUGAAAUCAGUCUCAUUGCACCUGUGUCCCAGGACCUCUGUUUUCUUUUACUUAAAACCAGUCCAGUGCAGGCUGCAAGGGAGGUGAAUUGGGUUUUUUGGACCAGAGCAUCCUGCUAGCCUAUCCAGGUCUGGGGUACACUGGGGUCCCCACACUGCUGUGCGAUUCAAGUUUCCAGCUGUACUUGAUCCCUACGUCCAGUUGGGUGCACUGGAUUCUGCAUUUCUGCUGGACUGCUUUGUUCCUCCUUUGCACACACUUGCCAGGGCUGUGAGGAUAAAGCAGAGGAAGCACAGGGCCUUUAGGGGCCUUGCAGGUAGGUAUGAGACCCGAGGGGAAAGAAUGGUACAGUGAUACCCCAGUGAUGAUAAAGGCCAGGUUUGGGCUAUUCCAGCUGGAAAGUGAGCCAGGCAGUGAUUCCAAUGCCUGGUGCUCAUUAGCCAGAUUAAUUAGUACUCCCUGGGCAGGUUUUAAUUAGGCAAGUAAUUCCUUCAGGCCUGGAGCAGCCCUGGCUGCAGUUGGAGCAUCACUUCCUUUACCUUUUCCCUUCUUUCCCUCCUACACAGUUCCUGGACUAUUGCAGAUGCUGGGAUCUUACUCCGUAACACUCCAAUGGAAUCCCUGAGGUUUUUGCUCUUGUCACCAUAAUUUUUUGGGAUACUAUUCCUGGCACUAGGAACAGCAUCCCAAACUGCUCUGAUCUCCCCCUGCUCAGGCUGUUCCUGGCCCAGUGGCUCGUGGCAGCCUUAGAGGAGCUCCCAGAGCCCUGCUGGGAGGAGCAGCUCCAUCCAUGGCGUAUCCUCCUCCUAGCCUCAUCCCUGACCCUUCUUUGCUCUUCUCUUGAGCCCAUUGUACAAACGAGCCCCUGUCCUUGAUGGGGACCAGAACUGGAGAAGGGGAGAGCACAGAUUUUCCCACCAGCCCUUUCCCUCCUUUCCCUGCUGCUCUUUCAUCCCUCCCGCCUCCCUCAUUUCAUUUGAUCUUUAACAUCCCAUCCAACCUAAGCCGUUCUAUUUCCACCUUCCCUGGGCUCACCCUGUCCUUCCCCAGCCCCAUUCCCACCGCCUCGCGUCUCCUCGGCCCAAGGACGAGCCGUGGGCUCGCAGGGGACGGGUUUGUCGCUCCCCCUAGUGGGGACGCGGCAGGAUGUCGCCGGGCUGGGGGGACGAGGGAAGGGUCCCGCGGGUGGGGGUAACCCCGCGCUCGGUUGUGCCCCCACCGGCGUAAUGCCCCACGUUCCAUGCAGGAAUCCCAAAGGAUUCCCAGUCGGGAGGUCCCGGUCUCUCCGGGUUGGAUCUUCAUGGCCUGGCAGAGAUGCUCAGCUCCCGCUGAAAUAUUUAGGAAUCUUGUUAAUAAUUAAAGGACAGACUGAACUCGCGGGGGAUUUGGUGAGCUCUCAUGAGGCAGAAGAGGCAAAUGUAGUCAGGAGAAAAAUGGUUCGCUAAAGCGUAGCGGCAUUUCAUAAAUUCUCCAUGGAAAAAAAGGAAUGCUGCAGCUCUGGAGGUGUUCCAAACAAUGACCUUUUCCUGGAGGUGAAUCCCACAGCCUCUGUUAAUCACAAGUUAUCAUUUCAGCCUCUGUUAAUCACAAGUUAUCACUUCAGCCUCUGCUUGUGCCGGAUGCACGCGCUGGCCAGGCUGUGCUGAUCCCAUCUCAGAUCAGAGCUGUGCUUUCAGAGCCUGCUUGCUUACAGCAUUUCUAACAAAAUCACUCAUUCUCAUUAGCUUCAUCACGUUCAGAGGCAGCUGUUAGUUCCCUUUGGCAGGGGGAAGCGAGAUAUUUUUGAGCUGUGAAACAACAGCUGUCUUGCAGCACAUGGAGCAGGGGG